rnacentral:rRNA from 1 species
AACAAACGCUGGCGGCGUGCCUAAUACAUGCAAGUCGAACGGGGAAGGCUUUCGGGUGAGUACUAGUGGCGCACGGGUGAGUAACGCGUGGAUAAUCUGCCUUAGAGUGGGGGAUAACUAGUCGAAAGAUUAGCUAAUACCGCAUAAGACCACAAGAACUGCGGUUCAAGGGGUCAAAGGUUUUUCGCUCUAAGAUGAGUCCGCGUAAGAUUAGCUAGUUGGUAGGGUAACGGCCUACCAAGGCGACGAUCUUUAACUGGUCUGAGAGGAUGAUCAGUCACACUGGAACUGGGACACGGUCCAGACUCCUACGGGAGGCAGCGGUAGGGAAUAUUGCACAAUGGAGGAAACUCUGAUGCAGCGACGCCGCGUGAGUGAUGAAGGCCUUCGGGUCGUAAAGCUCUGUCGCAGGGGAAUAACACAAUGAAGGUACCCUGUAAGAAAGGAUCGGCUAACUUCGUGCCAGCAGCCGCCGUAAUAC